AUUUAAUGUAUUCCAACCUUCUUUACUAUUUUUACUGUUUUGUAGUUUAGUGUUGUAAAAAUGAACCUUAGUUGCUUUGAUUCUUUUGUUAAGUUCAUUUCUACAACGUUUAUAAUAGUCCGUGUGUUGUGACCCGAUAUCGUUCACUUUCAUUAAGCAUGUCUUAGAACUGAAAUAUUUUUACGGGAACUAACACUUUCGAACACGCUG